CUAACAGGAUUCCCCUAGUAACGGCGAGUGAAGCGGGAAUAGCUCAAAUUUGAAAUCUCACCUCGGUGCGAAUUGUAGUUUAAAGAAACGUUUUCGGUGGUGGUGUCUGGUACAAGUUCAUUGGAACAUGACAUCAUAGAGGGUGAAAAUCCCGUCUUUGAUCAGACUACCAACUCCAUAUGAUACGUUUUCCAAGAGUCGGUUUGUUUGGGAAUGCAGACCAAAAUGGGUGGUAAAUACCAUCUAAAGCUAAAUAUUGGCGAGAGACCGAUAGCGAACAAGUACCGUGAGGGAAAGAUGAAAAGAACUUUGAAAAGAGAGUUAAACAGUACGUGAAAUUGUCAAAAGGGAAACGCUUGAAACCAGUAUUGCGCUGUGGAAUUUAGCUGUGGUUUACUGCAGUGUCCUUUCCGCUGAGCAAGUCAACAUCAGUUUGGUUUGGAGUAAAAAGCCUUGGGAAGGUGGCCCCUCGGGGUGUUAUAGCCCAAGGUCAUGCUCUGGACUGGACUGAGGAAUGCAGUGUUAUUUGGAGAACUGGUCGCCUUUUGAAGUAGCGCUAUCGAAUGCAUGCAGACUUUAGUGACUAUCAGGAAGCCCGGCCAGGUUAUCACACCAACACUUUGGAUGUUGACGAAAUGGUUUUAAACGACCCGUCUUGAAACACGGACCAAGGAGUCUAACAUAUAUGCGAGUAUUUGGGUGGCAAACCCUUUUGCGUAAUGAAAGUGAAAAGGUGGGAUUCUUUAUUGAUGCACCAUCGACCGCGCCAGAUUAUUACUAUCUCGGCGUGAGUAUGAGCAUACAUGCUAGGACCCGAAAGAUGGUGAACUAUGCCUGAAUAGGGUGAAGCCAGAGGAAACUCUGGUGGAGGCUCGUAGCGGUUCUGACGUGCAAAUCGAUCGUCAAAUUUGGGUAUAGGGGCGAAAGACUAAUCGACC
rnacentral:rRNA from 1 species